rnacentral:rRNA from 1 species
UACUGCUUCGUAGGUGACCUGCGGAAGGA